CCAUAUAAUUAAUAAGGCAGAUUCCUCCUUCUUUUUAUUAAUCAAAUCCUACACUCAAUAGAUACAUAUCUCUUGAGCAAGCCUGAGAGCAAUUUUAUU
rnacentral:lncRNA from 1 species